rnacentral:tRNA from 1 species
GGGUGCGCCAGGCCGAGGUCCUCGGCCCGUCGCCGCUGCUGACGGCGGCGCUGGAACGGCGCCUGUACGAGGCCGGGCUCACCCCC